GUGCUUGCUUCAACAGCACAUACACCAAAAUUGGAAUAAUACAGAGAAGAUUAGCAUAGCCUCAUCUCAAGGAUGAUACACAAAUUCGUGAAGCAGUCCAUAUUUUU